rnacentral:rRNA from 1 species
GUCCUUAUGAUUAUAAUAUAAGGUUUAAUCUGCCCAUUGAAUUUUUAACGGCCGCAGUAAUUUGACUGUGCGAAGGUAGCAUAAUCAAUAGUUUUUUAAUUGAAAGCUAGUAUGAAUGAUUGGACGAGAGAAAGACUUUUUUGAUUUUAAAUAAUUAUAAUUUUAUUUUUAAGUUAAAAAGCUUAAAUUUUUUUAAAAGACGAGAAGACCCUAUAGAGUUUAAUAAUUUAAUAAUUAUUAUUUUUAGUUAAUUUUAAAAUAAUUAAUAAGAUUAUUUGAUUGGGGUGAUUUUAAAAUUUAAUAAACUUUUAUUUAUAGAAACAAUAAUAUUUGAAUAUUUGAUCCUAUAAUAGAUUAAAAGAUUAAAUUACCUUAGGGAUAACAGCGUAAUUUUUUUGAAGAGUUCUUAUCGAUAAAAAAGAUUGCGACCUCGAUGUUGGAUUAAGAUAAAAUUUUAAUGUAGAAGUUAAAAAUUUAAGUCUGUUCGACUUUUAAAAUCUUACA